UGGAGCUCCACAGACUGCCGUCGGAAGUGUUGCCAGUCCCCGGAAGGAUUUGCCGUGCCGCCAGAGUAGGUUCCGCCGACUGCUAUUCCUGCUCCAAUUCUGAUUUCAGUUUAGCAGACUAGCAGAGGGCACUGGGCAGAGGCGCAAUAUGAAGUGGAAGUCAAAAUUGGGGUAUGUUUCUCUGCUAGGAGUCAUCUUGUGUUGGUCUCAUUUGUUCUAGUAUCUUUUUUAUUUAUUUGUGGAAGGCUUAUGUGUGUGUUUUGUUUCAUAUAAAGGCUGUAUGCUAAGUAAUGAAUUGUUGGUUGUGUAAUGUGUAUUAUUAUGAUGAAGGAAAACCAGAAUGCAUGCUAUCACAGGGAGAUUGAGUUCACACUUCCUCCUAUGGUCCAAUGUUGGUGGCAGUAUGCAGAUAAUAGUUUGCAGAGAUGUAAU